UUGAAUGGGAAUAAUAUACUAACUUAAUUUGAAUGGGGAACUCCAAUUUUCAACGGUUUUAAAAGUAUAAAUUAAUGAAAUUAAGUUAAAAUUAAUAUAGUUCCCUUCCAAAACCCUGCCAAAUAAU
rnacentral:sRNA from 1 species